AACGAACGCUGGCGGCAUGCCUAACACAUGCAAGUCGAACGAGACCUUCGGGUCUAGUGGCGCACGGGUGCGUAACGCGUGGGAACCUGCCCUUAGGUUCGGAAUAACUCCCCGAAAGGGGUGCUAAUACCGGAUAAUGUCUUCGGACCAAAGAUUUAUCGCCUUUGGAUGGGCCCGCGUUGGAUUAGCUAGUUGGUAGGGUAAAAGCCUACCAAGGCGACGAUCCAUAGCUGGUCUGAGAGGAUGAUCAGCCACACUGGGACUGAGGCACGGCCCCGACUCCUAGGGGAGGGAGGAGUGGGGGAUAUUGGACAAGGGGCGAAAGGCUGAUCCAGCCAUGCCGCGUGAGUGGUGAAGGGCUUAGGGUUGUAAAGCUCUUUUACCCGGGAUGAUAAUGACAGUACCGGGAGAAUAAGCUCCGGCUAACUCCGUG
rnacentral:rRNA from 1 species